rnacentral:rRNA from 1 species
AUUGAACGCUGGCGGCAGGCCUAACACAUGCAAGUCGAGCGGAGCGGCGGACGGGUGAGUAAUGCCUAGGAAUCUGCCUGGUAGUGGGGGAUAACGUCCGGAAACGGGCGCUAAUACCACAUAUUAUCAGUUGAGCGUAGGGCGGAUUAGCUAGUUGGGGGGGUAAAGGCCUACCAAGGCGACAAUCGGUAACUGGUCUUAGGGGAUGAUCAGUCAGACUGGAACUGUGACACGGUCCAUACUCCUACGGGAGGCAGCAGUGGGGAAUAUUGGAGAAUGGGCGAAAGGCGGAUCCAGCCAGGCCGCGUGUGUGAAGAAGGUCUUCGGAUUGUAAAGCACUUUAAGUUGGGAGGCGUUACCAACAGAAUAAGCACCGGCUAACUUCGUGCCAGCAGCCGCGGUAAUUC